rnacentral:lncRNA from 1 species
AUAAAAAUGGGAAGCACCGUCUAGACACAUCAAUUGCUAUUCAAAAUAGUUUAUACUUCAGGAAAGGUGAGAUAGGCGACUGGGCAAAUCACUUGACACCUGAAAUGGGAGCGCGUCUAGAUGACAUAAUGGAGCGGAAGCUCAAGGGUUCAGGCUUGAAGCUGCCCAGGUGACCGUGCCUGGGGUCCCAUUUGCUUAUGAUUAUUGCCGAAGUGGGUUCAUCAAAAGAUGUUAUCAGCAUGUCGUGAAACAGCAACGUGUAUCCCAAUAAAUACCCUCUCUGUUCAUAGCAAGUAUUCACAUUUUGUGAAUCUUCCAUGUGAAUAAGCAAUAUUCUUUUGUGAAUCUGUGUUUGUGACUUUCAUUGAUUUCCUUGCAUGUUUGUAAGAAUUCAAAAUGGGAUUCGUUUUUUUUUUUUUUAACACAAGUGCAUGCAUUCCAUUCAUCAGUUUGAUAAAAAAUAAAUUUACUCUAAUAUAUAAUAUUAGAGUGUUUUCUUCACAGAAAUUGCAGUGUGUUUUUCUUCACAGCUAUACAUGUUUGAAAAGAACCGAGACAGCCAUACAUGAGGGCGGAGCAAAGACCAACCGAGACAACCAUCCAUUAAGAUUGUUGAAUUGCAGAUCAAAUGAACGUAGGAGAACUCGUGUUUUCCACUCCUAAAAUAAGCCCAGUUGCCGGCUUCAUUUGCAACAGAGACACAUAAAGAAUCUGAAAGCAGUUUUUAUGCACUAUCAGCAAAAUAAUUUGACCAGUCAGAAUGAUGUUUUCCCCCUUACUAGGCUCAGAUCACAAUCCUUCUUACUUCAAACAAGUCUUUUGGAACCGAUAUGUCGAGGGAUGGCUUGAUUUAUACCGGAGAUUUUGAUGGAAACUUAAAGAAGCGUGGCUUAAUUAUACCUUGGAUGCGCAAAUUGAUUACAGGGAAAAAAUGACAGAAAGUGAGUUGCAGGGAAUGAAAAAGGCAUUAGUAAACUCAACACCUUUCAGGGCAUCGUUCCUUGGUUUACUCCCUUCUAUUUCUUAUUUUGUUUUUCCUGCCAUUGUCUAAUGUUUUUCUAACUCGCAGUCUGGUCUCUGCAGAGAAUGAGAAAGCAAAAACUCUUUAAGAGAAGAUAUUCUCCGGCGAUGGCAUCAACUAAGUGCGUGUUUGGCGCUCCGGCUAUGUUUACAGAAAAAACAUCGUGGUCAUGUUUUUGGUUACAGUCUAAACAUAAUUAUCUGUUUGUGGACCCGUUAUCAUUUGCUUUUAAACCGCAAGAUAACCAAAAACAACUUCAAGCUGCCUUCUGUGUUGAGUUGCAAACUUUAUAAACAAAGGCCACAAGAAAAAGAGCAGAAACAUAGCAGUGAAUAAUGAACAGUGGAGAGCAGCUCCCUCUGACCACCGGCAUCCGCCGUUUUCACCGCCAACCACUGCUCAUCCUCUUCCCCUUCUCUUUCUCCUUCUUCUUUGUCUUCUGCAUUGUCCACUGUUCACGUUGCAUGUGAACAGUGGAGAGCAGCUCACCACCGGCCUCCGCUGUUUCUACCGCCAGUCACUGCUCUUCCUCUUCCCCUUCCCCUUCCCCUUCUUCUUCUACAUUCUCCACUGUUCACGUGAACAGUGGAGAGCGUCUCCACUAUUCAUGGCCGGAUUGGGUCUGGCCCAAACCUAAAUGCAUUGGACCGGGUCCAACCUAAAUGCAUUGGACCGGGUCCAAUCAAGUAAAAUAAAAAAAUCUAAAAAUAUUUCUUAGAUAUUGUGUUUUAUUUGAAAAACUAGUGUUUAAAAUUAUUCAAUGACACUACAUAAUUAUAUUAGAAGGAGAUCGCAUGAUGACGUAGCAUUUGCAGAAUUUGAUUGCAAUCCCAAUUUUAUUCCUAAUGAUAUUUUACCUGAUGUGAUGAUAUUUUACCUGAUGUUGGUGCACGUUCAAGAAGCCAUGAAAACUGUAGUUUUUGUCGGAUGGAUUUCGUACGUGAUUGAAUUGCAAAUAAUUUAAUGAAACAAUAAAAAAUACUUUAUAUAAAGUAUUAUUUAUUUCAUGAUGUAAUAGCAGUAGUUAAAUCUAUAAUAUUCCAAUUAAAAACCAUCAAUAUUAAUAUAUAUAUGUUUUUUUUAAUUAUUUUAUAACCUCAAUUUGAAAAACAUUCUUUAAACCAAACACAUUAAACUACUUUUUGUUCAACCUCAAUUUCAACCACAAUUUUAACCAAAUAUAUAUUUUUUCAAAUCAACCUCAACUAAAAAUACUUUGUAUAAAACAACUUUUUUAAACUACAAUCAUAACAGGUAUCACAAUACCAAAGACACACAAAGCUGUACUGAUAAGCAAGUUAAAGUGCCACCAUUGAUUUAGGAUCUGCUUUAUAUCUUAUAAGGUGAAAGUAAAACACAAGGAAAUGCAUGCAUGCACACCACUAAUCUUUGAUUCUGGCGAGAACAGUGAUGACUACACACACAACCAUAUAGAAUUACAUUCCAAGAUGAAGAAAUUAAUAACAGAGCAGUGCUAUAAAGCUAAAUGGGAGAACCAGAGAUUAAUAAGCAAUGCUGAAAAUUUUAUCAUGCAUAAGAUGAGAGAAGCAUAGGACAUAUUUUAUCAAAUCUAUAGUUUUUCUUUAAUAAUAAUAAUAUUUUUAAAAAAUUUAAUAAUAAUAAUAAUAAUAAUAAAAACUCAUGUUCUUUGAUUCUGACUUCCCUUACCAGACUGAAGUUACCACAGUCAGACCCAAGUAACUUAGGUGUGACGCUCCUGUUAGACUCAAGUUAUUUGGGUAUGAUAUCUCAUGCUGGACUCAUAGUAUUCAAGAUCAAAGGUGUUGAUAUCUAACAAUCAUACCUCACCCAAGCCCUAAGAUGUGAUUGCUUUUCUAGACCAGAGCGCAAGGCACCAAGACACUAAGAUACUAUUCACCAUAAGUCAAGUCAAUGAACCAAUUAAUUGAUUUUAAAGAUCAAGUUUUUUUUUUAAAUAGAGAAACAAAACUUUUAUUAACAUUGAAAUAACUCCUAAAAUUUUAAUAAAAUUAAUUUGAAGUAAAAAUAAUAUUAGAAAAAUAUUUAGAAGCACUUUUUUAUUGUAAAAUCAAACACACUAAAAUCAUGUAGAUUUUCAUUUAGACACUAAAAUUCAAGAAGAAAUUAAGUUCACACAGUACUAUUAAUUCAAUCGAUGAAGGAUUAGUCCCAACUACUUUAGGGCCACCAUUGACAUUGAUUACUUUGAAUAAUUUUAAUUUAUAGGCAUAAAAAAUUAAUACAUAUCUUUAAGAGGAUCAAUUUUAGAUUCUCUCUCUCUCUCUCUCUAUUUUUUUUUUGGUUUUCAAAUAUUUGACAUUUUCGUUUAGAUAAGCUCUAGUGUGUGUUUUUUUUAGAUUAUUUUAAAUCAUGUUUCUUGAAAUGUCAAAAACAUUUCAUGGAUUAAUUUAACUUAAUAACGCCAAAGAAUUAGGAAUUAAAACUGAUAAUUUCCACCAAGUAAGAGUACCUAAUUGAAAAUUUACUUUCUUAUCAUUUACCUCAAUUAAGCGGAAGCAUGAUCAUGAGAAGGGAUUUGGGAGGCACUUAGAUUAGGCUCUUCUCUAGUCUUGAGAAGCAGAACCAAUAGAGACGUGAUUGCGCACUCCCUGAGCUAUAUAGUAAGUGGCUGCAAACAAAUUGUCAGCACCAAUUCAGGUCCGGAAAAUUAAAGCAUUGAAGCAUAAAAGGUGACCUAACCUGAUUAAGCAAAUUACUACUUAUUCCAGCAUCACCUAGGAGUGAGACAGCCAGCCCUCCAGUGUCUACAUGGUAUGGGAAUAAUUCCUUCAAGAACGCAGAGAAAAUUAUACUUGCAAUACAACUAUAAACGAGAUGGUACAGUGCGGAAGGCUAUAAACGAGAUGGUACAGUGUGGAAGGCAAGAUGUUAAAUAUGAUCAGGACAAAAAAAUAAAUAAAGAAAGAAAGAGUGUUUAUUUCACAAUGAUCGAUAUGAUGCUUCUUUCCAUGUGGAAUCUUCGUCAAAGACUUGUUGAAAAUGCCAAAUUGUGAUCCACUUUUGGCUGUGUCAAAUGCAUGGGUGGGGUUUCACACAGAGCUAUUACCCCUUGUGUAAACUCAACGCCAGUUUUCAUGAGUUCUUUGGGAUUCUAACAUAGUAAAAAAAAAUGAUAAAAUAACGAAGUGUAAAGAAUAUGUAGUGAAAUAGAUAUUUGUAAUUAAUCAGUUGCAAUUAUUAUAUGCUCGCUCUCUCAGAUUUACUGGACAGAAGAUUUAUUAAAAAGAGAUGAGAAAAUAAUUAAAAGAGAAAGAAAAGAAAAAAAAAACUUCAAGGUAUAUCAAAACUCUGAUAAUAAUAUUAUUGGUAUUGUUGAAACAAAUCUAAAAAUAUCAAUAAAGAUCACCAAUAAUGAUCAUAGUAGGUCAUACGAGUGACCGAGAUAAAUGAGUCUCAAUACUUUUAAACAGCUCGUAUAAUCUAUUUUAUUUAUUAUUUAUUUUUUUUUAUGUUGUUAAAUUCAUCUUAUAAUGAUGCCGAUAAUGUUAUCAUUAUAAUUUCAAUGUAUUUCUAUUAUUAUUAUUUUUUGUUUUGCUCUCUCUCCUCUCUUUCCUUAUAAUUUAUGAAGAGUUAGAGAGGGGAAAAAAAAACCCUAGUCUUCCACUUUAAUCUGGCUGAAUACUAUAUUUUUCCUUAAUUAUUCACUACUUUGUCAAUGCAAACUAUAUUUUUCCUUAAAUAAGAUCUAAUCCACCAGCGGAUAGGUGAUCAAGAAUAUUAAAUUAGUGUAAAACUUGAUUUAAUUCAACAUUAUAAAUUCGAGGUGCUAUAAUAAUGUGAAAAAAAAGAAUAAAAAAACUAGAUUCAUCAUCAUCAUUAUUAUAUUAGUAUAAUAAUGUUUGUCACUUUGUUGUAUUAUUUUUUAAUUGUUUAGUUGUUUACUAUAUGUUAAAAUUUCAAGAUCUUCAAAGAUUGGUAAGAUCUUAAGGAUCUAGAGUUACUAUGGGACCGUCUUUAUUUUCCUAUUUGGAUUUUUUUUAUUUAUAUUAAGAAUUUAAAUUUAAUUAGUAUUUUAUUAUUUAAAAAUUCUAACGGUAAAUUGAUUCUAUUAGUCAGGCUAAUUUUAAGUAUAAAUUAUUUUUUUAUACAAAAUUUUAAAUUUAGAAUUAAUAUAAAUAAAAAUGUUUAGUUUAUUUUUUAAAGUGUUUUUGUUUAAAAAUACAUCAAAAUAAUAUAUUUUUAAAUUUUUUUUAUUAUUCAUCUUUUACAUCAAAACAUUUAAAAAACAUAAAAAAAAACAAUUAGAAAACGCAAGAUUGCAUCAAUGCUAAAUGCAAUCUCUCUCUCUCUCUCUCUCUCUCUCUCUCUCUCACACACACACACACACACACACACACACACACACACACGAUCCACCUCUGGUGUCAAAUGCAUAGUGAUGUUCCACAGCGAGCCACUAUCUAUUAUGUAAAAUCUCAACAAGUGAGAAAUGUCAUAGAUCAUUUGGUCUAAUUUACGGGGACAGAGUUGUGGAGUUGGGGGCUGUAAAUAUUCCUCAAAAGAUCGAGUCUUAAGGUCUCGGAACUAUUAUAUGACGGGGGAUAAAAAAACAAAUACUACGAGGGUCGAAAUAAAUAUUUUUUACUGGUUGAUGGUAUCCACAAAUGCUACGAGCAAUAAUAAAAUUUUUUGGAUUGAAUAAUCAGUUAAUUAAUUAGUUUUAAUAAUUUUUUUUAUUUUUCUUAACUAAAGUGGUUAAAAGCGCUUAUAUUUAUCAUUGAUAGGUCAAAGCUACUCGUUAAUACAUUUAAAAGAUUUUUUUUGAUGGAGGUAAAGACUUUCCGAUAUUUAAAUAAAUAAUUUUUUAGAAAGAAAAAAUAAAUGAAUAUUCUAUAGAGAGAUACUCUGAAAAUACAAAUGCACAAGAGAAUUGGAGAUUGUGAACCUUUGUUCUGAAGAUUUUAUGAUGUAUUUAUAACUUAUAAGUUUUGUCCUUUUGUGAAAAUAAGGGUUUGGAGUGUAAUUACCCUGAUAACAUUUAAUGAGGAAUAAAUAUCCCUUGCAUAAUGGGAAUAUGGUGGGUCCUCGAAUGGUUUUUAUACACCUAAAAAGCUAUAGGGAGAUUAGAGUUUAAGACGUCAAGUGUAGCUGAGCCUAUAGAGAUCAAGUUCUUUCCUGAGAUUAGAUCGAAGAGAGGUUGGUCAUUCUCCUAGAUAUGCCAAUGGAGAAUGAUCAAUAUUUUGGACUUGGUUGGCUGCAAAAUCCAAGUACCUUGAGCCUGAUAUGCGUGUCAAAUCCACCCUAUCUUGAAAUUGGAGCACUACCAAGUCCUAGCGCCUUGGAUCUGACAUGCAUGCCAGAUCCAUGCUACGUUGGACUUGGUGCACUAUCAAGUCCAAACACCUUGGGUCUAGUGUGCGUGUUAGACCCACAUUAUAUUGGGUUUGACGCAUUACUAUACAUGUCCAAGCACCUUGAACUUGAUUGAUUGUCAAGUCCAUGCAUUAUAGAUUUGAUAUAUGUGUCAGAUCCAUAUUACCUUAAGCUUGACGCACUAUUAAGUUAAAGUGUCUUGAAUUUAGAAUUUCUCAGGAUCCAUAAAUUUUAAAGAACCAAACAAAAACUAAAUAAAAAAUUGACUCAUCACUAAUCUAUAAAUACUAUCUACAUAAUGGCCUUAGUUGAUAACUUCUACCACCCACUGCACUUACUUCAAUAAUGAAAAAUAUUUUUUCCUUUUAAUGGAAAAGACAUUUUAACUCCAUCUUCAAUUACUUUACAUAAAUGUUUCCUUCUUUUUUAGAUAUUGGGUUUAGAAAACACAAUCAUGCUAAAAAUUUAUUAUCAACUAUAAAAUGUAUUUUUUUUAUAUUUUAUAUAUAUUUUUUAAUUAUUUUUUAUAUUUUCAUAUUGUUUUGAUGUGCUAAUAUUAAAAUUAAAUUUUUAAAAAUAAAAAAUAUUAUUUUAAUAUAUUUUUAAAUUAAAAAUAUUUUAAAAAAUAACCGCUAACACAAUAACAAACAAGAUUUAAAUAAAAAAAAUUAUAAUUACAUCAGCAAUCAAGAAUACUAAAAUAGUGUAAAUUUUGACUUAAUUCAAUUAUGAGAAUUGGGGGCAGCGUAACAAUUUGAAAUAAAAUGGCAGAAAAGGAGGGCAAACAGUACAAAUACCUUGAAUAAUGGUGACCAAAUAUUUGUAAUUUGAGACAUCUCGUUCUCGCAAGGAAAUAGUUAAGAGUGCCAAUAAUUAAUCUGCUCUCAACUUGCUUCAAAUAGCUGCCAUGUCCACAUAUUCAAGAAACAAAUAUUUCCACUAAAGGUUUAUAUGGUCGUUAAUUUCAGGAUCUGUGGGAUUAGUCGAGCUGCGCGCAAGCUAACCCGAACACCCACAUUAAACUAAAAAAAAAAAUAUUUUUUACUAGUCUAGAAAUGCUAUCUCCUAAAUUGUUUAUUGUUCUAUGAUUCAACCAUCCUGUUUUUUAUAAAAAUAUUGAUUUUUUCAUAAAUUUUUUUAGUAUUUUUAAAUUAUUUUAAUGUAUAAAUAUAAAAAUAAUUUUUAAAAACUUUAUUUUAAUAUAUAUAUUUUAAAAAUUUCUUUAAAAAAUAAUUAUCACCGCAUUUCCAAACUUCACAUCCCUGUAUUAAUGGAUUGUGUUGUCCCUGUAUUAAUGGAUUGUGUUGUGGGCUCCACGCCAUUUAAAGCUUGUGAGAGAAACUACACCUAUAAACUGAAACCACACGAUAACACUAAAGAUUUGCUAAUUCGGGAGUGUUUGUUUUUAUAUAUAAAAGUAUUUUUAAAAAAAGUUAAUUUUUUAAAAUUAAUUUUUUAAUAGUUUUAUAUUAUUUUAAUGUAUUAAUAUUAAAAAUAAUUUUUAAAAUAUAAAUUUUUUAUUUAAUAUAUUUUUUUUAAAAUAUAAAAAUACUCUUGAAAACAGCGGUUAUAAAAUACUCUUAAAAAAUAAAUAAAAAUACUCUUGAAAACAGCGGCUAUAACCUUCCCAAACUUCACAUCCCCAAAUUAUUAAGAGGCCGUUUGUUUGCGUGGUUGCUUCUGCGUUUGAAGCAACCACAGCAAACAUAAUGUUUGGUAAUAUUAAAAAUGCUAAAAAUGACCGGUGGGACCCAUGCCAAUUCACGUUUUGAACGCGACAUUGGUGAAGCAGCUCGUGACUGCUUUUUUAAAUUUUGUAUUUGCGUGCACAGUGCAAUUCACUUGCACUGUGCACGCCAACAGUGUAAUUCACUUGCAUUGUUCGGGUGAUUUUUUUUAUUUUUUUAUUUAGUGUGUAUAGUUUUUUUAUAUAUAUUUUUUAAAAAAACUAGUUUUACAUUGUCAUGUAAACAAUAUUUUUUUUCCCGAAAAACUAGUAUAGAGCGAAUUAAAUUCACUCGCACUGUAAUAUCAAAUUAAUUUUAUUCCUAAUAAUAUUUUAUCUAAUUUUAUUGCAUGCUCAAAAAAUUAUAGAAACUGUAGUUCUUGUCGAAUGAAUUUUGUACGUAAUGGAAUUGUAGAUGGUUUAAUGGCAUAAUAAAAAAUAUUUUAUAUAAAGUAUUAUUUAUUUCAUGAAGUAAUAGUAAUAGUUAAAUCUACAAUAUUUAAAUUAAAAAUCAUCAAUUUUAAUAUAUAUUUUUUAAAAUUAUUUUAUAACUUUAAUUUCAAAAGCAUUCUUAACCAAACAUAUUAAACUACUUUUUAUUUAACCUCAAUUUCAACCACAAUUUUAACCAAACACCUAUUUUUUCAAACCAACCUCAAUUAAAAGUACUUUUUAUAAAAUAACUUUUUUCAAACCACAACUACAACAGCUACAGCAAUACCAAACACACUCUAAAUUGCAGACGUUUGGCAGUGUGUUCAAAAACAUAUUUUUAAAAAAAAUUGAUUUUUUUUAUUUUAAAUUAAUAUAUUUUUAAUAUUUUUAAAUUAUUUUGAUGUAAAUCUUAAAAAUAAUUUUUAAAAACUAAAAAAAUAUUAUUAACAUAUUUUUUUAAAUAAAAAAUAUUUUAAAAAAUAACCUCAGCUAUUCACACACAGCCGGAAAGAAGAGAAACCACACAAUCACGCUAAAGAUUUGCUAUCGAAUAUAAUAUGACAUAAAACCCAAUUGCAUCAGCGGGCAUGUGAUCAAUAAUAUUAAAAUAAGGUAAUAGUUGAUGGGGCCACAAAUUAAACCAGCUCUCAACUCGCUACAAAUAGCUGCAAUGGCCUUUCAUUCUACGUUAUAUUUUCAUUUUUUACUUUCAUGGAAUCCUCUUUGCCUUCCACCCAAAUCUUGGAUUCUGGUGACAGUGCAGAGAGGAAAAAUGAAGCUAAAAAUUACAAUGAAGUGAUGUCCACCUUUCCGAAAGUUAAAGGCUUGAAUGGGUAUGAUUAUUACCUGUACCAAGGCUUUUGGUACGCUCCCUUCUUCUUGGAAGGACUCAUGUCUGUUCAAGAGGGCUUCAAUCCUCAAUCCACUGAUAUAUUUGUCGCCAGUUUUCCAAAAACUGGCACAACUUGGCUUAAGGCCCUCACUUUUGCUAUUGUCACACGAUCCCGUUUAAGUGGUUCAACAACUAGUUCUUUACUUACCAAGAUGCCACAUGACUGUGUUCCUUUUUUGGAAUAUGACCUUGCUCAAAACCCCAGUAAUCGGGACUUGGCAAUUCCUCUGGUAUCUACUCAUGUUCCUUACACUUGUUUACCUAAAUCUAUCAUUUCUUCUAGUUGCAAGAUUAUUUACAUUUGCAGGGACGCAAAGGAUGCUUUUGUUUCUUUGUGGUACUUUCUUGCCAGGCUGCAAAUGUCGAAAAAUGUUGAACCUCUUCCUCUGGAAGGGGCAUUUGAGUUGUUUUGCAAUGGAAUUGCAAAUUUUGGACCAUAUUGGGACCAUGUUUUAGGGUAUUGGAGAGCAAGCUUCGAGUUCCCUGAGAAGAUAUUGUUCUUGACAUAUGAGGAAAUGAAGCAAGACACAGCUGCUCAUGUUAAGAAAUUAGCUGAGUUCAUGGGUUGUUCUUUCACCUUAGAGGAAGAGGAGGGAGGGGAGGUGCAAAAGAUAAUAAGCAUGUGUAGUUUUGAGAAGUUGAGCAGCUUGGAGGUCAAUAAAAAUGGGAAGCACCGUCCGGACACAUCACUUGCUAUUCAAAACAGUGUAUACUUCAGGAGAGGUGAGAUAGGCGACUGGGCAAAUCACUUGACACCUGAAAUGGGAGCACGUCUAGAUGACAUAAUGGAGCAGAAACUCAAGGGUUCAGGCUUGAAGCUGCCCAGGUGACUGUGCCUAGGGUCCCAUUUGCUUAU